UUCAAUUUCAUAUAUAACUUCGACCAUGUUAGUAUCUUGAACGUGUUACUGGUUCAUAUGUCUUCAUUCUUUUUAUUUUCUCUCUUCUGCUCUUACUUUCCCUUUUAAUAUAGUUUAAAAUAUCUGUAUAAGAUGAAAUGUUUAUUGUUUUGUCAAAUAGGUCAUUAAAUCUUUUCAUGCCUUUAAGGGGCUGUUUUAAUAAUGUUGUUGUCCGUCAUAGCAUUAAGAUAUA
rnacentral:lncRNA from 1 species